rnacentral:rRNA from 1 species
UACGUAGGGAGCAAGCGUUGUCCGGAAUCAUUGGGCGUAAAGCGCGCGUAGGCGGCCUUGUAAGUCCGUUGUGAAAGUCAAAGGCUCAACCUUUGAAAGCCGAUGGAUACUGCAGGGCUAGAGUCCGGAAGAGGCGAGUGGAAUUCCUGGUGUAGCGGUGGAAUGCGCAGAUAUCAGGAGGAACACCGGUGGCGAAGGCGGGUCUCUGGGCCGAUACUGACGCUGAGGAGCGAAAGCGUGGGGAGCGAACAGG